rnacentral:rRNA from 1 species
CGGACGGGUGAGUAAUGUCUGGGAAACUGCCUGAUGGAGGGGGAUAACUACUGGAAACGGUAGCUAAUACCGCAUAACGUCGCAAGACCAGAGAGGGGGACCUUCGGGCCUCUUGCCAUCGGAUGUGCCCAGAUGGGAUUAGCUAGUAGGUGGGGUAACGGCUCACCUAGGCGACGAUCCCUAGCUGGUCUGAGAGGAUGACCAGCCACACUGGAACUGAGACACGGUCCAG